GGGUGGGGAGUUUUUAAUGACUAUUAUGAUACUGCUUAGGUUUGUCUACAUCCAUUUAACAUGCUAUUCCUUAGGUUUGUGUAAACAGUUGGUUCAUUUUUGAGCUAAAGUAAUUAAAAAUCGAAGCGAACCGAAGCCAAAAAAUUCGGUUUGGUUCUGCACUUUGGUUUCAAUUAUCUCUAAAUUACAUAAUGCAAAGUUUUCCAUCUCAAAUCUGCAAAUUACAGCUCAAAUUGCAAACAAAGCCAAAAGUAAUUGCAAACAAUUUCAUUACUUAAGCUAGAACUUGCAUUGGUGCAAUCUGAUCGUAAAGAAAAUUUGAAAAAGUCUAACAUUCAAUAAUAUAUAAACAUGUGCAAUUCAAAAUUUCAAUUUCAACAAACUUGUUCCGUGAAGCAGCAAAACCUAGCAAAAAACAUAAAUUGUAUGACAAUUUCACAAUCAAACUUCAGCCAGGUUGUGGCACUGCUGUUGGGUCCCUAAGUAGCGAUGCAGAUGUGGAGGAUGUCACUUUGCACUAUUCUUGGGCACAUCAAUUCUUUCAAUUUCAUGUCUGGGAUCCCUUGGUGCUCUGGUGCUUCAUCGAGGAUGUUGCCACUCCAUGUAAGUCGAUGCCUUUUCAAGCUUCAUCAAGGGAAAUUCUGGGAGGAAACACUUAAGGAAUGGUGGUGGUGAUGCCUUUAGAGACACAGAGAGGGAGAGAGAAAGCAUGUGGAGGCGAUACCAUGGAGCAAAGAGGGAGAUUGAUGGAGAAGGAGAGGACUGGGUUUGGCUUGGGGCUGUGAGUGUGAGGGAGAGGGGAGGAAGAAGCUUGGGACAGAGAGGGAGAGAGAAAGCAUAAACAUUUGCAGGAUAGUUGGGGGUUUCAAUAUAUAGCCAUUCAAAACGGCGUAGCAUAUAUUGGUUCGGUUAUUUUGGUUUUUGACCUUAAUAAGCAAACCAAAAAACUAAAAUUUCCCAAAAAACUAAUGGAAACUGAACCAAUUUAUUGAAUAACUAAACCAAAAAACUGAAUUAAAUUGGUUUGGUUCAAUUUUUAGUUAAAUUUGUUAUGUGUUCGUCCCUACUUUUCCUUGCUCAAAUCUUUUUUUGACUUGAUUUUAUACUUUGUAGAGGAACACAAUCUACUACAGAGGUAUUGGGCAUGCAUUUCAUACCAUAUGGAGAGAAGAAGGGUUUUUGGGCCUGUAUAAGGGACUUGGAGCAACACUUUUGGGAGUUGGGCCAAGUAUAGCAAUAAGCUUUUCUGUUUAUGAGUCUCUCAGAUCUUUAUGGCAGUCUCAAAGGCCCAAUGAUUCUACUGUUGUGGUUAGUCUUGCUUGUGGUAGUCUUUCAGGCAUUGCAUCUUCAACAGCAACAUUUCCUUUGGACCUUGUGAGGAGAAGAAUGCAGUUGGAAGGGGCUGGUGGUCGUAAACGUGUUUACACAACUGGCUUGUUUGGGACAUUUGGACAUAUAAUCCGGAACGAAGGGUUGAAGGGCUUGUAUAGAGGGAUUCUGCCUGAAUACUACAAGGUAGUUCCUAGUGUUGGUAUUGUCUUCAUGACAUAUGAGACAUUGAAGAUGCUUCUAUCGAGUGUCCCUACCAGUUAAAUGAGAUAGAGUUAACUUAAAUUGUGUCCAUGAGAAAUUCUGUCUGGGCGCACGAAACCAAGAAAAUUAAGAGGAUUCAGUUUUGUUAUCCCGGGAGGUUGGCAGUAGAAAUGUUCUGUCUGUGGUACAUGAGAGACUCCAUGGUGGUAAAUUUUGCGGUUGCUGCCAUGAGACCCUAUAAUUUUUUAUGUAUAGGCAGAUGCGGAGCGGGCGGUGCAAGUGGAGACUUGGCCCCCAAACAUUUAUAAAUUUUUUUUAGGUGUAAAAAAAUUUAUGUUUUUAAAUUAAUAUAGUAAAUUUUCUAUUAUGGCCUUCAAA
rnacentral:misc_RNA from 1 species